rnacentral:rRNA from 1 species
GGAUGCGAUCAUACCAUCACUAAAGCACCGGAUCCCAUCGGAAAUCCAAAGUAAAGCGUGCUAGGGUGAGAGUCGUACUAGGAUGGGUGACCUCCUGGGAAGUCCUCGUAAUGCAUUCU